rnacentral:misc_RNA from 1 species
UCAAAUGAAAAUAUAUCAUCAUCAUCACAGCACAAUUGCACAAACUACACUAUCCUCCCUCAAUAGUAUGAAAGAGAAUAUCAAUCCCAUCUCUAAAAAAGAAUCUACACCACAAACAAAGACUGUAUGAUUAUCAAUACAAUCAAGAAAUAGAGAACCUUCUUCUUCUUGGCUUGGUAAUGUCCACACCAACGUUCUCAUCGAUAUGAGAAGUAUCCUUAGAUCCAUGCCUGAAAGGAUUUAACUUCCCCAAAGUCUUGGACAUUGAUGAGAAGAAAGUGGGCUUCCGAGGGCCACCCUUCGCAGAAGUCCCUUGAUUGUUGUUGUUCUUCUGCAUAUCCGAUAUGAAAAGCUUCAUCUUCAUGAGCUCCGUUCGCAGGGCCUCGUUCUCUCUGAUCAGAGACACAUCGGUCUUCUGCAAUUGAUGCCUUGUAUUGCCAACGCCAAGUUCCGGGGUGCUUCGUUCGUCCACCCCACUUCUUAGUUUAAGCUGAUCAUAGUAUAGGGCAUGCAAAACAAUCUGUACAGGCAAGCGUUUGUUCUGUGAAGCAUGAAGUCGAGCUUCGUAGGAGAGCUUUAACGUGUCCAUCACACUGCAAACCUUCUCUCGCUCUAUCUCGUCAAGGUUCGGAUGAGCCUUCAGAUAGAUAUCAAUGGCACGGUAGAGAUCAUCAUCGACUUUCCUAGCUCCUUUUGGAACUAGAAUGGCGAUUCCAUUGAAUUUGGAGAUACUGAGUUCUCCAUAGGGUUGCGAUCUCGCCGAGAUAGACGUCCACGGUCUUUGCAACUCUCUGCAUCCCAGUAGAACAAUUAUCCUUGAAAUCGCCACCGCUGAAGACAGCCAUGGUUUUUUCCUUCUCCACGAACCCAGAUAUGAUCCUCCUCACGCUCUCUAGAUCAAAGAGUCUCUCACCAUCAUAAGUGAAAGACAAGACCAGAAGAUCAUCCACCGUAACGUGCUCUAAUAUUGCGGAGAUUCGUUUCUCCAGCUCGUUCUUGCAGGAAUUGGAGACUUUGAGGAAGAUGGCAGACCGCAGAAGGCAGCAGAGAAAGUUUAUCGGAAAAGCAGCUUUCUCAGAAGGCAAAAGAGAGACUAUUGAUUGUAGAUGCUCCCGUUGGCGGCUCCUGAGAUCGGAGUCGUCAAGAUCCAAAGACUUGGUGCCGUUGCCAGAAUGAUCUCGAACCAGAUCUCGAAGAUUUCUCUCUGUGUAAGUAACGAGAGCAUUCGCUAGGGUUAGUGCUUUGGCUCCCCGUUUCUUCAUUGCAGAAAUGAUUUUCCCCAGAAAUUCUACAUCUAAAAUAGACAGCUCCUCUGUCCACCAGUUAGGCGGCGAUCGGCUUGGAAAGUUAGCCUCAUUACAGGCCUUAACGCUGACGACAUCUACACAUCUCUGAACAAUUUUAAGGUCUUCAGCCAUGGGAAGAAGAUCUUCGCACGAUUUCAAGACGACAAUCGCGCCAGAGAGGCUAGGCAAGGCAACCUGAGAAAGGAAAUCUUCUGUGCGACCAACGAGGUUAUUGUCGCAGUAUAAAUCAGUCAUUUGGAGAUAUUCAGAAGCACAGCGAAGAGCAGCAACAUUAUGAACAGUGAUUUCAAAGUUGACUCCAUAGCAAAAUUUUGCUGCUUUCUCAAACAUUUCAGGGCCUCCAGGUAUAUCUGAGAGAUUGAUUCUUGUCAGGUCUGGUUCUGUUGAUUCCAUUAUCAAUUUCCUUAUGUAGUUGCUUUUUGCCACCAGCAUGAACUUUUGGAGAGCAAAACUGGCUUCUCCAACUUCAACCACAACAUCUGUUGGAAUUUCUUGAGAAAAAACCCAUUGGCCUGUUCUCUCAAUGGCAAUGGACAGCAAACUGUUGCUUCUGAGAGGAGUAGCCAUUUCCGCUGCCCGUAGAAAGAAA